rfam:Triticum aestivum genome assembly, contig: Triticum_aestivum_CS42_TGACv1_scaffold_224073_3B
GUACUACUACCUUCGUCUGAAAUUACUUAUCGUGGAAAUGGAUGUAUCUAGACGUGGCUUUAGUUCUAGAUACAUUCAUUUCUAUUAAUUUUCACGACAAGUAAUUUAGGACGGAGGGAGUAGUAU